GAUCAUGGCUCAGGAUGAACGCUAGCUACAGGCUUAACACAUGCAAGUCGAGGGGCAGCAUGAACUUAGCUUGCUAAGUUUGAUGGCGACCGGCGCACGGGUGAGUAACACGUAUCCAACCUUCCCGUUACUCUGGAAUAGCCUUUCGAAAGAAAGAUUAAUACCGGAUAGUAUCGAGAGAUUGCAUGAUUACCCGAUUAAAGAUUUAUCGGUGAUGGAUGGGGAUGCGU
rnacentral:rRNA from 1 species